rnacentral:rRNA from 1 species
AUUGAACGCUGGCGGCAGGCCUAACACAUGCAAGUCGGACGGUAGCACAGAGAGCUUGCUCUUGGGUGACGAGUGGCGGACGGGUGAGUAAUGUCUGGGGAUCUGCCCGAUAGAGGGGGAUAGCCACUGGAAACGGUGGCUAAUACCGCAUAACGUCGCAAGACCAAAGUGGGGGACCUUCGGGCCUCACACCAUCGGAUGUGCCCAGAUGGGAUUAGCUAGUAGGUGGGGUAAUGGCUCACCUAGGCGACGAUCCCUAGCUGGUCUGAGAGGAUGACCAGCCACACUGGAACUGAGACACGGUCCAGACUCCUACGGGAGGCAGCAGUGGGGAAUAUUGCACAAUGGGCGCAAGCCUGAUGCAGCCAUGCCGCGUGUAUGAAGAAGGCCUUCGGGUUGUAAAGUACUUUCAGCGGGGAGGAAGGCGGUGAAGUUAAUAACUUCACCGAUUGACGUUACCCGCAGAAGAAGCACCGGCUAACUCCGUGCCAGCAGCCGCCGUAA